AUCCUUCAGACCCUCUCCAUUACACUCGUCUCCAAUCUUGAACCCAAGAGACGUCGCCCUUAAAUUCCAGCCGUCUCCGCUGGCGACACCUCCUCCAAUAACCCUCAUCUUUACAUCAUAGCACCCCUGUGACCCCCUCAUACCUAAUCUAUCACUGGUUUCUCUCGAAUCUGUCCAAAUUCCUUAAAUCUCAAAUCUGAGUUCGAGCCCUAAAAAGUUCAAAACCAGUUCCUGUUGAACGGAUCGCAUGCAUCGACCUAGGCUUGUGAUUCUCAUGAAUAGAGGGUUGAUUCACUACAAAACAUAAGUUAUUCAUUUUUUCUUGAUAAAGAACAAAUGAUCAGCAUCUAUUUCUUGUGAGUCAGGGUAUCAAGCGUAAUUUCGAGUUUAAUCGGUGAGUUUCUAUCCCUCUUUGUGUGCAUUUUGGUUUUAUUUUACCUGUUGUUCUUCUUCUUUUCCUCUCAUGUUUUUUCUUGGUUUGAAACUAGGUCGAUAUUUUGGGUUCAAAUUGUUUCAUGUUCGUAUGUUCCCUCUAUUUCUUUGUUUUCAAAUCGGAAAAAGCUUGUUAGCUGAUCUUCUAGGCCUGUUGGGUUUUAUUUAAAUUUUUUAUUCUCCCUUUUGAUCCUAGUCUUGUUAGUUUGGUUUAAUUAGGUUAAUUUGGAUUUAAUAACUUAGUCAAUUUUCAAACUUAUUUGUGUUAGUGAAUUAGUUUCCUUAGUUCAUAUUUUUAAUCAAGUGGCUUGUGUUCUAUUUAUCCUUACAGAAUUUAGUUGGAUUAAUUAGUGGUUUGGGCUUUGGGUUUCUGACCUAUUUGCAAAAUAAGGGCAGCUCGAUCAUUUAGUUGAACUAUUGGGUCAAUUUGACCCACGACCCAUAUCUGCAUGGGUUCAGGGGUAAAAAAACAGGGGUCUUAAAGGGUAGUCCAGGAAUAUAGGCUGGUGGAAUCAUUAUGUAACAUAAUAGGGAAUCUUCUAGGAAGCUGGGAUUAGGGUUAUUUUGAAAGUCUUAUUUUUGCAUUAAGGUUAGGUGAGCAAAAAUGAAAAGGUCAAAAGGAUUGAGGUGCAAAAUUUAGCUUAUUUCUGCAGCCCUAAUAGCUUGCCUAUAAAGGCAUCAUUACUUGAGAUUGAAGUCAGAUUUUAGGAGAAAAAAACUAGAGAUAAAACAAUCCUAAAAACUGAGCGACUGAAUCUAAAAAGAACACAGAAUUUUUCUGCAUUUCUUGGUUGAAAAACUACUUUAAAUUCUUUUCAGUUUUGAUCUGUUUAUGCUCCUUUUGUCAGAACUUUUGAAACUUUAGAUUCCUGCACCUGGGUAAAGAAAUGGUUUGAUUUUGGGGCUUGAAAGUUUGGUUUGAGCUUGUUUGUGUGGAGUAUUGUCUAGUUGCCGUUACAGUUUGAAUUCUUUGGGUUUAAUUGGCUGAUUACAGCACUGUUCCAUUGCCUUUCUGGUACUACUGUCUACUGAUUUGCACUUCUUUUUUUCCCUCUAUUUCCAGGUAUUUUCAGCACUAUGGAUAUCACUUUAGUGUAAUAUGAAGUUUUGAUUUAGAAAUAUGAAAAGCUUAUGUUAUUUGUAGUUUAAAUCUCAUCCUUUCUUCCUUCAAUAUAAUAAUGGUUGUAGUAUUUAGCUCUUGAAUUGUUUUGACUAGUACAUUAAUCAUGGAUAGGGUGAGAUUGGAGCUUCAAGUGAUAUGUUUCUUCUUUUCAAUUAUCAAUUUUGUUCGAAUUUGGUUUAGGUGAAGGAAUUGCCUUAGGUGCAUUUGCAGUAAUACUUAGGCCAAUAUUGGAUUUUCUGAAGUGUUUUGAAUGUUAUGUGAUUAGACUUGGUUGCUUUAAGGUCAUGGCCAUCUAAUGUCAAUCUUACAUAUUUUUUUAAUAUGAAGCCCAGUUGAAGUUAAAAUUCCCAUGUCAUUACUUCAAAUUAGCUGGAAGCUUGAAAUUUAAAGUUGUAUGUGAUACAACUCUCAAAAUUUAACCUUCAAUUGUUUUCAAAAAUCAUAUCACUGUUGAAAAUCUCAUGUAAUUGUAUGUUAAGUAGUUAAAACUGAUUCGAAAACUGAUUGCACACACAUUGGUGUUUUGUUGAUAGCUAUUUGGGUUUACAUAAGCACCCUGUGAUUUUUCAGACACAGCUUGGGUGCUUUAGGGAUUCGAAGUCGAGUCCCAUACUUGCUAAUUUUAGGCUCUUGAAAGAUUUGGGCUCAGCUUGGACCCAAGUCUGGAGAGAUUUGUAAAAUUUGAAUUCUACACUUUGCAUUAUUUGGGCCUGCCCUUUUAAUUUCCAUACAAAUGUUGUUGAUGGCCCAAGCUGUUCCGUCUCUUUUAAAUAAUUUGCCAUGUUCUUUAUCAAGACUUUUUCUUUCGUCUAGUUUGGACAUUAGUCUUGACAUAAGAUUCAAAUUCCUUCUUUGCUUAAUUAAUUAGAUUCCUUUGAUAAUUGGGGCAAUCCAUAUUAUAUAUUGCAAAUAGUUUAUGGCCCUCGUAACCUUAAUUAAGAUACGUCUAGAUAUGAAGCGUGCCAUCUUUAAGAAGACAUAGUUUAUGGCCCCAAAAACUGAGUUUUAAAUUUUCUUAAAACUAGAAUCGAGGUGUGUCGUGAGAAAUAAAAUUUCAAAAUGCAUGGCCCUCGCUUAAUUCAUAUUUUUAUCCUUAGAAAUCGAGGUACGCUAUUUAGUUGAAUUUUCCAUGGCCCUCGCAAUGUUGAAAGUGUGUAGUUUCUUUAGGCGUGCUAUUUAAAAAUUACUUUCCUAAACUCGGGUAUGUAUUUCAUGUGACCCAAAUCCAAAUAUUAAUAACGUUAAAUAAAAUGUGUCUUGGACUGCAGGUGCAUUUCAUGUGGCGUGGUCCAAAGACGUAUUUUAGAUGACGAGAAAAUCUUUCUUAAAGUAAAUAAAAGCGGUUAUAAAGUGUUAUUGAACCAUAGUCCAAAACAUAUAUUAAAAUCAGAUAAUAGGCCAAUUAUAAUAGUUGAGCGAUUAUGCUAGAACCCCAGAACCCGAGCAUUCCUAACACCUUCUCCCGGGUUAACAGAAUUCCUUACCCGAAUUUUUGUGUUUGUGGACUGUAAAACAGAGUCAAUCUUUCCUCGAUUCGGGAUUUGAAAUUGGUGACUUGGAACAACAUAAAUUAUCCCAAGUGGCGAUUCUGAAUUUUUUAAUAAAAUCCCAUUUCGACUAUCACUUUAAGUUGGAAAAAACUCCCUUAUAUACCCCUUUACCGAGGUGUAUGAAAAGGGAGGUGUGGAAGGGAGAUCCAGCUUAUAGUUUCAGAUAGAAGUACUCUUCUCUUAGGGUGUUUUACAUAGCUUAACUCAGGUAGAACCAUUUCUCCUAGGGAGAUCCACCUAAUAGUUCCUGGUAUAAGUACUCUUCUCUCGAGGUAUUUUACGUAGCUUAACCCAGGUAGAACCUUUUUCGCCUAGGGGGAUCCAUCUUAUAGUUACUGGUAGAAGUACUCAUCGCUCAGGUUGUUUUAUGUAGUUUAACUCAGGUAGAACCGUUUCACCUAUAGGGAUUCAGCACUACAUCCGUAAUACAGGGCGCCAACCCCUUGUUAUAUUCCUUUUAGUAAUACACGGUGCCAACCCCUGGUUACAUUGUUUUUUCCAUAAUACAGGGUGCCAACCCCUGGUUCCAUUUCAUUUUAGUAACAUAGGGUACCAACCCUAAUUAUAUUCCUUCCUAGUGAUAUAGAGUGCCAACCCCUAGUUACGUGCCUUCUCAGUAAUAUAGGGUGUCAAUCCUUGGUUAUAUUCCUUCUAGUAAUAUAGGGUAUCAACCCGUGGUUACAUUUCCUUUUCAAUUAUACAAGCUGCCAAUCCCUGGUUACAUCCCUUAUCAGUAAUACAGGGUACCAUCCUCUAAUUCCAUUUCUAUUGGUAACAUAAGGUACUACCAUUUGUGGUUGUAUAUCCUCACAAAUCUAGUUUAUACUACUGCCUUUGUCUUCAUUUCAACGAAUUAGAUACUUUAUAGCUUUCUCUAACUCACAAAAUUUUCCUAGUGCCAAACUGGGGAAGAAAAUUUUUAUUUGUUUUGUUUGUCUUUGAUGGCUGCCGUAUAGCACAAGUGAUGACUAAAGCUUGCAACUUCAGUUUCUCAUCAGAAGAAAGAAGCCUUUUGAUCACAAGAUAUUUGGAGUUAGCUUUGAUAAUAUGUCAGCAAACUCAGCUUCUCAAGUUCCAUUUUAUCAAAUUCUGAUAUGGAAAGCCAGCAAUCGACAAUGAGCCCUAAUCUUUUUAUCAAAGAGAAUCAAGAUCCAAUCUAAGGUCAACACAAGCAAGUAAGUCAAGAAUCAAGAUUUGGCUCCACAAGACAUAUAUAUAGGAAUUUCGUAAUUCUUAGCUUGCAGGCAUAUGAAUUUCUCUUCUCUUUUCCUUUUGAUGUAACUAGCAAGUAAUGGUAACAGCAGCAACAAUAGUCUUAAUUCUUACCUGAUUCGUUUAUAACCAGGGAUAUGUAGACAUCCUUGAAAGCAAGGUUCUGUCACGUUUUUCAAAAAUACUUUCAUUGGAGUGAUACAUAAGCAAAAUUAGGUACAACAUUCACUUUCUUUUCACGAAACUCUUAAUGUUCUCGAU
rnacentral:lncRNA from 1 species